CAGCAGACACAUUCCAGCCAAUCAGCAGCAGACCCUCCCUCCCAGACCCUACCACCUCCUGGACAGCUCACUAAGAAUGCAGCUUCACAAUGAAUGUAAAAUGGAUGCUGUCCAGGAGGUGGGAGGGUCUGGGAGGGAGGGUGUGCUGCUGAUUGGCUGGAAUGUGUCUGCUG
rnacentral:miRNA from 1 species